GCUUGGUCGCCUCAUCUCUCUUCUCACUUUUUAUUGUGAGGUUUCGGUGUGGAGGUGGGAUGAGGUUCCCGAGC
ensembl:miRNA gga-mir-1706 gga-mir-1706